CACCCCCGCCCCACCCAGCCAGGGACGGAGAACGCGGCCUUUGAGGGUCUACCCACGGGGCGGGACACACUUGUGUGUGUCAGGGGCAAGGGGCCGGGGGCACCUCUCUGUGCACAGCAUCUGCCCGUGUUCGGCACUCACGCACGUGGGGGGGGGUGUCCCAUGUGUGUCGCGAGCAUGUGUAUGUGGCACGUGCUCAUGUGUUUAGCGUGGAGUGGAGCGUGUGUGUCCCAUGUACAUGCUCCGGCGGGUGGCGUGUGUCCUGCACGUGUGGUGUGUAUGUCGUGCGGGUCCGUGUGUAGCAUGCAGGCAUCGUUUGGGCAUGUAACAUAUAUAUAUAGCAUGUUCGCAUGUGCAGGGUCCCACAUGUGUAGCAUAGGCCCCUGUGUAGCAUUUGUGGGUCUCUGUGUCAUUUAAUCACUGACUGUACAAGUGUAUUUCCCUGACCCCCCUGCCCUGCCUGGGGACUCUCCCCUCUGGGCACACGGUGCCCUGUUCCUCCUGGGGCUGCUUUCCUUAUGCUCCUCACUGCGGGCAGUGGGGUCGGGCAAAGUGCAGGGCAUGAGCACCCAGUGCAUCCCCCUCGCCCUGGGGAGCAAAGAGCAGUGGCAGCAGUCCAGCCCCAGGGGAACUGCCCGUGGUGCUUUGGGCAAGCUUGUGGGAUGGAGCAAAGCUGUGGGGAGGGUGUCAAUGGGGCAACACAGUGCACUGGGGACAUUCCCUCAUCAGGCCCAGAUCUCUGCAUCUCCCCACGGGGGCUGUCCCUGCUCCCUAUGCUGAACCCCAGUCACCUCCGAGCCAGGCCCCUGAGGACAGACAGAGCGCAGAGCUGAUAAGCACCAGCUCUGCAAAGGUCCUGGCCCAGUGCGAAGGAGGCCGGGCUACGGUGAAGGGCCCGGCCCGGCGCGAAGGAGGCCAGGCUAUGGCAAAGGGCCCAGCCUGGCGCGAAGAAGGCCAGGCUGUGGUGAAGGGCCUGGCCCGGUGCGAAGGAGGCCAGGCUAUGGCAAAGGGCCCAGCCCGGCGCGAAGAAGGCCGGGCUGCGGUGAAGGACCCGAACCGGUGCGAAGGAGGCCAGGCUAUGGCAAAGGGCCUGGCCCGGCGCGAAGGAGCCCGGGCUGCGGUGAAGGGCCUGGCCCGGCGCGAAGGAGCCCGGGCUGUGGCGAAGGGCCCGGCCUGGCGCGAA